AGAGUGAUUACAUUUUUUUCUUUUCCUUUUUGGAUUUUUUAGAAUUCUGCUUUUUCAUCUGACUGUGUCAUCUCACUGAUUUUAGGAUCACAGAGUGACAGCAGUUUGUCAGAGGUGCAGAGGAGAUUUUGCUUCAUUUUGGUUUUGGAAUUUUGUUUUUCUGUUGCCGAACUAGCCUAGGCUAGAUAGCAAACAGAAGAUGGAGGGGGAGAGAUUGAUGACCUUGCUGGAAGUUAUGCAGUUUGCUUCUGGAUUUAUGAGGCAAGCCACGGAAAUCUUGGAAAAGAGAGAUGAAACGAUACGACUGUUGUUGGAGGAAAAUUUAUGGCUGAUAAGGAAAUUGGGCACUAGAUCUUCACCCUGUACCUGUGGAACGGACUUAGGUCCGGAAAUUGGCACGGUGCAAGAGCAGGAUGACCCUUUUGAGGAUUAUAGUAAUGGCACUCUCCAAACGCUUGGAUGCUACCCUGGAAUUGCAAAUGCUUCCGAAGAGAGCUUUAAUGAAUCCCAGUGGAGCUUUAAUGAGCAUACCAGAGAAGACAGCAGUUUAUCAGCUGUCCCAGCAGAGGAUUUACGGGCACUGGUGCCGCGUGCAGACGAGGGAGUGCAGGAAGGAGAGAGAUCGCUUCGCCAAGCUGUCUCCGUUGAUGAAUUGGCAUCGGACAAAACGCCGGAGCACUUCAGCACACCGGAGGAUACCCCAGCACACCCCUCAUGUUUUCUUCAAAGCCCAGGACAGGUGAGAGACCCUGAACUUGAUUGCAGGACUAUGGGUUUGACAGCUAAUAGGGAGGAAAAGCUUCUCCAAGGCCUUAAGGACCUUGCUAACCCUGAGGACAUUUGCUUAGAGGCAAUAGCAGAAUCCCGGUCGCCCAAGGGCCUGGGAGACAACCCAGCAGUGGAGACUAUUUCAGUACAGGAAGAACAGCAUACGAUACCCCAGUUGGCUGAGCAAUUGGCAAUAGAGCGGUCAGAAAUAAUUCAGAAGGGGGAGGAAUACCAGGAUGGUGGAAUAGAGACUCAGCCAGAACUUUUGCCAGGAGAUCUUGCUACAUGUCUGAUCUCAGUUGAAACAAGUAAAACCCCCACGCUUAGCCCAGUAGAAACUGUGAACAUGGAUUCUGUGAGAUUGUCUGGAGAACUUUGGAAUUUGUGGGAGCUUAGCAGUGACGCAAUUCUCCAUGUGGACGGACUAAUUAGAACAGAGGAGAAAACUUCAAAGCAAACCGGAGGAGAUAAAGUAUCUUUAUCAGAGACAUUGCCUAUUGCUACCGGAAAAGUUAAUUGUAACGAGGUUUUGCAGCAAGGAUCUUCACAAAGUGUUAAUAGAACUGGAGACCUUGUUGAAAACUCAGUAGAUCUGGUUCGUAAUAAAAAACUGCAUCUGAACCUGUCUGAAAGUGAGGCUGUUUCUGAAGCAACUAAGAGACAUUUAUUCCUGGAAUGUUCUAACGGCUUGGAAUUACAAGAUGCAGAUCUGUCUCCAGAGACAGAGACUUUUGAGCUGGGAAGUGAUAGUCACAACGGAUCUGAGGUCAUAUCUGGGAAAUUUGGCCCGAUACCAUGGUUAAUACUCCCAGCGAUGCCUUUGGAAAGAGAAGAGGAUAUUUGGGACCAUAUGGAUUUUAAUCAGCCUAAUUUCAAAGAUAGGUUUGUGAAUGUAUGCAAUGCUUCUGACGUCUUUAAAAUUUGUUUGAACAAUGAUGUGUCUUUGAAAAUGAUUAGGGAAUUGGCCAAACAGACUAGGACUAAUGUCACGCCUGAUGGUUUUUACUGGACUGCUCAAGGGUUAAUUAUGCAUGCUAAGAGAAACGGUCCAUUU
rnacentral:lncRNA from 1 species